CCCGGGAAAACUAGCAUAUCAAUAAGCGGAGGAAAAGAAACCAACAGGGAUUGCCUCAGUAACGGCGAGUGAAGCGGCAACAGCUCAAAUUUGAAAUCUGGCUCUUUUAGGGUCCGAGUUGUAAUUUGUAGAAGAUGCUUCGAGUGUAGCUCCGGUCUAAGUUCCUUGGAACAGGACGUCAUAGAGGGUGAGAAUCCCGUAUGUGACUGGCUGCUUUCGCUCAUGUGAAGCUCUUUCGACGAGUCGAGUUGUUUGGGAAUGCAGCUUAAAAUGGGUGGUAAAUUUCAUCUAAAGCUAAAUAUUGGCCAGAGACCGAUAGCGCACAAGUAGAGUGAUCGAAAGAUGAAAAGCACUUUGGAAAGAGAGUUAAACAGUACGUGAAAUUGUUGAAAGGGAAGCGCUUGCAACCAGACUUGCACUUGGUCGAUCAUCCGAGGUUCUCCCCGGUGCACUCGAUCUCGUUCAGGCCAGCAUCGGUUUAGGUGGUGGGAUAAAGGCCUUGGGAAUGUAGCUUCUUUCGGGGAGUGUUAUAGCCCUCGGUGCAAUGCCGCCUACCUGGACCGAGGACCGCGCUUCGGCUAGGAUGCUGGCGUAAUGGUUGUAAGCGACCCGUCUUGAAACACGGACCAAGGAGUCUAACAUCUAUGCGAGUGUUUGGGUGUCAAACCCAUACGCGUAAUGAAAGUGAACGGAGGUGAGAACCCUUAAGGGUGCAUCAUCGACCGAUCCUGAUGUCUUCGGAUGGAUUUGAGUAAGAGCAUAGCUGUUGGGACCCGAAAGAUGGUGAACUAUGCCUGAAUAGGGUGAAGCCAGAGGAAACUCUGGUGGAGGCUCGCAGCGGUUCUGACGUGCAAAUCGAUCGUCAAAUUUGGGUAUAGGGGCGAAAGACUAA
rnacentral:rRNA from 1 species